CUCAAUCCAUAACACUAGGACUGCUUUUUGCACAGCUUACUGAUUUCACCGUUCUAGCUUCUGAUAUUUUUUUCCUCUUAUGCUUGGCUAGGAUGAAAAGACAGCAUGUGGAAGAGCUGAAGCAGUUGAAAGCUAAAUCUACCUCCUUAUGUGUGUGCUGAAAUGACCCAGUGGGGACUUGGACCAGCUCUCAGCUUUGCUCCAGUCUACCCUCAUUAGGACUGGAUCGAUGCAGUGUCUGGCUGGCUUUUCACAGCAGGCGUUUUGCAGUUCGGCUCAGUGCUACGCCCUGUCAGCCCAUAUCUGGCAAUGAAGACCCAGGUGGAGAAAUACCUGUCUUACAUCCUCUGUCAGGACUCAGAUCAGAUCAAAGCACCAUCAGUGUCAAAGGUCACAGUGAUUCUAAUGAAGAUGCAAUGGCCAGUCUUAAAGAAUGGGGGGAGUAUUCCUAGGAAAGAAAGGAGUCAACACCAAGGCCGGGAUGCAAGUUUAUAUAACAGGUAUUUAUAAGAAGCUGUGCAAAUAAGAAUUUACUUAUCAAGCAUCAUACCCUGACAUGAUGGCCAUGGUUCUUGGAAGAGUUAGGUAUCCUUCAUCAAUCUCAAAUUACACUGGUUGCCUAAGUUUCUUAGAAAACUUAAAAAAAAAAAAAUAAUCUACCUUCUAUCUAAAUAACCCAUCUGCACCUGGACUGUUGUAGAGCUACUUGAACCUAUUAAUUACAGUGUCAUGCCAUCCCCAUGUUUAU